rnacentral:rRNA from 1 species
ACCCGCUGAACUUAAGCAUAUCAAUAAGCGGAGGAAAAGAAACCAACAGGGAUCGCCCCAGUAACGGCGAAUGAAGCGGCAAUAGCUCAAAUUUGAAAUCUGGCCCUUUCAGGGUCCGAGUUGUAAUUUGCAGAGGGCGCUUUGGUGUCGGCAGCAGCCUAAGUUCCUUGGAACAGGUCAUCAUAGAGGGUGAGAAUCCCGUAUGUGGCUGCUUGUCUUCACCGUGUAAAGCCCCUUCGAUGAGUCGAGUUGUUUGGGAAUGCAGCUCUAAAUGGGAGGUAAAUUUCUUCUAAAGCUAAAUAUUGGCCAGAGACCGAUAGCGCACAAGUAGAGUGAUCGAAAGAUGAAAAGCACUUUGGAAAGAGAGUCAAAAAGCACGUGAAAUUGUUGAAAGGGAAGCGCUUGCAGCCAGACGUGCCCGUAGUUGCUCAUCUGGGGUUCUCCCCAGUGCACUCUUCUAUGGGCAGGCCAGCAUCAGUUCGGGCGGUUGGAGAAAGACCUGUGUCAUGUAGCUCUCUUCGGGGAGUGUUAUAGGGCAGGUGGAAUGCAACCAGCCUGAACUGAGGUCCGCGCAUCUGCUAGGAUGCUGGCGUAAUGGCUGUAAGCGGCCCGUCUUGAAACACGG